rnacentral:rRNA from 1 species
CGCCAGACUCCUACGGGAGGCAGCAGUGGGGAAUAUUGCACAAUGGGGGAAACCCUGAUGCAGCGACGCCGCGUGAGUGAAGAAGUAUUUCGGUACGUAAAGCUCUACCAGCAGGGAAGAAAAAAAGUCCUUUGGACUUUGGACGGUACCUGACCAAGAAGCCCCGGCUAACUACGUGCCAGCAGCCGCGGUAAUACGUAGGGGGCAAGCGUUAUCCGGAUUUACUGGGUGUAAAGGGAGCGUAGACGGCAGCGCAAGUCAGUGGUCAAAUUGCGGGGCUCAACCCCGUACUGCCGUUGAAACUGCAUCCCUUGAGUGCGCGAGAAGUAUGCGGAAUGCGCGGUGUAGCGGUGAAAUGCAUAGAUAUCACGCAGAACUCCGAUUGCGAAGGCAGCAUACCGGCGCGCAACUGACGCUCAUGCACGAAAGCGUGGGUAUCGAACAGGAUUAGAUACCCCCGUA